CCUACGUGAGACAGCAGUGAGGAAUAUUGGUCAAUGGACGAGAGUCUGAACCAGCCAAGUAGCGUGAAGGAUGACUGCCCUAUGGGUUGUAAACUUCUUUUAUAUGGGAAUAAAAUGUUCCACGUGUGGGAUUUUGUAUGUACCAUAUGAAUAAGGAUCGGCUAACUCCGUGCCAGCAGCCGCGGUAAUACGGAGGAUCCGAGCGUUAUCCGGAUUUAUUGGGUUUAAAGGGAGCGUAGGUUGAUUGUUAAGUCAGUUGUGAAAGUUUGCGGCUCAACCGUAAAAUUGCAGUUGAAACUGGCAGUCUUGAGUACAGUAGAGGUGGGCGGAAUUCGUGGUGUAGCGGUGAAAUGCUUAGAUAUCACGAAGAACUCCGAUUGCGAAGGCAGCUCACUGGACUGCAACUGACACUGAGGCUCGAAAGUGUGGGUAUCAAACAGGAUUAGAUACCCGAGUAGUC
rnacentral:rRNA from 1 species